CAAUAAUAAAAAUUCUAAAAAUAAAUAAAUAUCUAAUACAUAAAAUUAAUCCAAAACAAGUUUGACAAAAAGAAUAAUACAGUUUGCUAAAGCGGUGGAAACUGAAUUCUACGUGUUUUCAUCGAUUGAAAACGCUGCAGGAUCGGCUCGUUAUCAAUCGUUGAAAAAAUAUCCUUCUCAAUGUACACAACUAGACUGUCAUUCAUCCACUCGUCUCCCAUUCGAUUUCGUACAUCAGUCUUGAUAGUAUUCAUUGCAGAAAAUGCUAUCUCAACAGAAGCAGUAGCAACAGGUAAAACCAAGACCAACUCAAUAAUCCGAUAGACCAAUGGAAAAACUAAAUGCUUCUUAGUUUUGACCAUUUUCAUAGCAAAACUUCCCAAAUCACUAAGCGCAACAAAUUGAGGAUCACACCGCACAUUAGCAAUAAAAUUACUAACUUGCCGUGGAAGAUGUAAACAUUCGCUCGCAAAGAAGUCCUCGGGAUAUAAAGUAGCAAUAUGAAUGACUUGAUGCUCAUUGAAUUCAGAGAAAGAAUUUCUUGGAUCAAGACACGCUAUGCAUUUUAGCAAGUCGGUGCUUGUAAGAACCCAGAAAAAAAAAUUUAAAAAAAAUCAAAUUUAUCUAACUUGGUCACCAAGUCAGUAAAUCAUUUAAUUAAAGAUUCUCACAUAUUUUCUUUCCCUCAACCCACGUUGGAAAACCGUUCACACUCCCCAAAUCUCUCUCACAUCCAAACCACCCAUCCCUCUAUUUUAAAUCUCCAAAUUCAGUUUAUUUUCCUAUUCUACUCGUUCAAGAAAACCAAGACCUCUUCUUCACAACUUCAAUUCAAGAAAUCGAGAACCAAAUUCGUGAGAAGAGAGAGAGAGCUACCGGUUGUCUUUCAAAAUCUGCCCAAGGGCUGUUCGGGUUAGUUUCGGGACGAAUCGGGGGCUGCGGUGAUGUUUCGGGGCUGCACGACCAUCGACGGAGCAGCGGCGAACAGCAGCCGACGGCUCUGUGCAGACGGAGCAGCGGCGAACUGCAGCGACGACUCUGUGCAGCGGCGACAGCAGCGUCCUCCCGGCGAGACAGCAGCAGCUCUUCCGGCGGAUUGGCGGCGGUGGCUGGACGCUGAAGACGACCGACGGCUCUGGCGGAAUUGGAGACGGCGACGGAGAUCCUGGAACUGCCCGUUUUGGGCGAAGAGAAUUAGACAGAUAGAGAGGGAUGAAGUUUGGGGCGUGAAGGAGGGAGGAGUUUAAGUGGGCCAUUUGUUUUUUUUUUUUUUUUCAGAUUUGGGCAUUUGUUAUUUUAAAAGGAUUUGGGCCUUAUAAUUAAAUUGGAGGAUUUAUUUAA